GUUAAUAAAGGGACAUAACUCAAGAAUGGUAAAAGUGUCGCCACCAAAUUUCGUACUUAAUCUGUAUUAUGUAGUAAUAAGCAUUGUGUAUAAGUUUCAUAACAUUUGGUUGAGGCAAACUAAAGUUAGAAAACGGAAACAAAAAAUUUGUAAUUAAUCUUAGUUUUGUGGUAAUGAAUAUUGUGUAUAGGUUUCAUAAUGUUUGGUUGGGGCAAACUUAAGUUACAGAAUGGAAACUAAAAAUUUUGCAAUCUUUCAAUUUAUAAAGGGGCAUAACUCAAUAAUGGUUAAAGUGACACUACCCAAAUUCAACUUGAUCUGUGUUUUAUCAGUGGAAGUCAAAAUUAAACAUUGCAUUGUUUAAAGCAUUGAUUGUCGUUGAUUUAACUAUAAUCAUGGACAAAGGAAGAUAACUCCAAUUUUAAUAAAAUGCUUCGCUGGGGUGCAGCUUGAUACGACCGCAGAGGUCGAACCCUGAACAGUUGGGGCAAGUAUGGACACAACAUUCAAGCUUGAUACAGCUCUGAAUUUGGAUUGUUAUUAAAUAUUUGACACAGCAUAGGUUUCUGACACAGAAAGAAUGUGGUCUAAGAACUUGAAU